GACAGAGGGUGCAAACGUUGCUCGGAAUUACUGGGCGUAAAGCGCGUGUAGGUGGAUUGGUGUGUCAGAUGUGAAAGCCCUGGGCUCAACCCAGGAAUUGCACCUGAAACUACCAGUCUUGAGUGGUGGAGAGGGAAGUGGAAUUCCUGGUGUAGAGGUGAAAUUCGUAGAUAUCAGGAGGAACACCGAUGGCGAAGGCAGCCUCCUGGGCCAGCACUGACGCUCAUGCACGAAAGCGUGGGGAGCAAACAGG
rnacentral:rRNA from 1 species